GCCCGGGUGGCGGAAUGGUAGACGCUGAGGACUUAAAAUCCUUUGUCCGUGAGGACGUGCGGGUUCAAGUCCCGCCUCGGGCACCA
rnacentral:tRNA from 1 species